UACGUAGGGUGCGAGCGUUGUCCGGAAUUACUGGGCGUAAAGAGCUCGUAGGUGGUUUGUCGCGUUGUUCGUGAAAUCUCACGGCUUAACUGUGAGCGUGCGGGCGAUACGGGCAGACUGGAGUACUGCAGGGGAGACUGGAAUUCCUGGUGUAGCGGUGGAAUGCGCAGAUAUCAGGAGGAACACCGGUGGCGAAGGCGGGUCUCUGGGCAGUAACUGACGCUGAGGCGCGAAAGCUAGGGGAGCGAACAGG
rnacentral:rRNA from 1 species